GGAUCACACUUGUCUGAUAAGUGUUCAGUGAGUUUACCAAUCCAGAAUUGAGGAUGACAGAAUUGAAGAACUCCAUGAAUCUUUUACAUUUCAUCUAACCUUCCCUUAUCAUAUGAAGUUUAGUACCACAAAGGUUUUAUCCAGAG